rnacentral:rRNA from 1 species
AUACGUAGGGGGCUAGCGUUAUCCGGAAUUACUGGGCGUAAAGGGUGCGUAGGUGGUUUCUUAAGUCAGAAGUGAAAGGCUACGGCUCGACCGUAGUAAGCUUUUGAAACUAAGAAACUUGAGUGCAGGAGAGGAGAGUAGAAUUCCUAGUGUAGCGGUGAAAUGCGUAGAUAUUAGGAGGAAUACCAGUUGCGAAGGCGGCUCUCUGGACUGUAACUGACACUGAGGCACGAAAGCGUGGGGAGCAAACAGGAUUAGAUACCCUGGUAGUCCACGCCGUAAACGAUGAGUACUAGCUGUCGGGGGUUACCCCCCUCGGUGGCGCAGCUAACGCAUUAAGUACUCCGCCUGGGAAGUACGCUCGCAAGAGUGAAACUUAAAGGAAUUGACGGGG